rnacentral:rRNA from 1 species
GGGAUUGGCGGCGUGCCUAUACUGCAAGUCGAGCGACAGAUAAGGAGCUUGCUCCUUUGACGUUAGCGGCGGACGGGUGAGUAACACGUGGAUAACCUACCUAUAAGACUGGGAUAACUUCGGGAAACCGGAGCUAAUACCGGAUAACAUAUUGAACCGCAUGGUUCAAUAGUGAAAGGCGGCUUUGCUGUCACUUAUAGAUGGAUCCGCGCCGUAUUAGCUAGUUGGUAAGGUAACGGCUUACCAAGGCAACGAUACGUAGCCGACCUGAGAGGGUGAUCGGCCACACUGGAACUGAGACACGGUCCAGACUCCUACGGGAGGCAGCAGUAGGGAAUCUUCCGCAAUGGGCGAAAGCCUGACGGAGCAACGCCGCGUGAGUGAUGAAGGUCUUCGGAUC